AACACAGUACAACAUUGACACUUGCCGUUUCACAACAACACGAAUAGCUUGAGCUUCGCAGAUAAAUGCCAGUUUUGUGAAGUUGGUGUAUCAUUUAUGAUUUUACUCGGGCUGCAUGCAUAGGCUACUCUUAAACAUGGGAUAGCAGGUAUUGUCAGCUCACUGAAUUCACACCAUGGUUUCGCUUUCAUGGCUGGAGAGUCUCAGCGGCGCAGAACUCUCGCACGUACACAUAACUUUGCUAGUAUUCUUGCUAGUGUUUUAUACAGUUAAGGUUAUUAAUCAGAACCGACGGGACCUGGCAAAUAUCCCGCCAGGUCCGAAGCCGUGGCCCUUAGUCGGUAACUUCGGCGGCUUUCUCAUCCCCUCUUUCAUCCGGCAGAGGUUUGGACAGCAAUCAGACGGCACCGUCAAAAACGCUAUGGUUGUAUUAACGGAACAAGCCAACGUGUAUGGUAACGUGUACAGCCUUUUUGUAGGGAGUCAGUUGAUGGUUGUGCUUAAUGGCUAUGAAGUGGUCAAGGAUGCACUCUCAAACCAUUCCAAGGUGUUCUCCGACAGGCCAGAUAUCCCUGCUAUCACUAUCAUGACGAAACGCAAAGGAAUAGUCUUUGCACCUUAUGGGCCAGUGUGGAAAAAGCAGCGCAAAUUCUGCCACGCCACACUCCGAAACUUUGGCCUGGGGAAGUUGAGCUUGGAGCCUUGCAUCCUUCGAGGCCUGGCUACCGUCAAGACAGAGCUGAUGCGACUGAAUGAGGGGUCGGGUGCCGCUGGUGUGGACCUGGCCCCGCUGAUCAGAAACGCCGUGUCAAACGUCAUCUGCUCGCUGAUCCUGGGACAGAGCUUCCAUCACGAAGACCGCCAGUUCCGUAAUAUGCUGGACCUGAUGGAUCGUGGGCUGGAGAUCUCUGUGAACAGUCCUGCAGUCCUCAUCAACAUCUUCCCACUGCUGUACUACUUUCCUUUUGGGGUCUUCAAGGAGUUGCGUCAGGUGGAAGGAGACAUCACGGUGUUUCUGAAGAGGGUUAUUGCAAAUCACCGGGAAACAUUCAAUCCUGACCACCCGAGGGAUCUUGUCGACAUGUACUUGAAGGAGAUUUCGGUCCAGGAGGACAGCAGCUUCACAGAAGAUUAUCUCUUUUAUAUAAUAGGAGAUCUCUUCAUCGCUGGCACUGACACCACCGCUAAUUCUAUUUUGUGGAUUCUGCUCUACAUGGUCUUACACCCUGAUAUCCAAGACAGGGUCCAGGCAGAGAUUGAUGAAGUGGUGGGUACACAUCGGGACCCGUCUAUGACUGAUAAGGGAAGUUUGCCUUUUACUGAAGCCACUAUCAUGGAGGUGCAGAGACUGACUGUUGCGGUUCCUCUGGCUAUUCCUCACAUGGCCUCCAAGACAACAGAAUUCAUAAAAAAAGAUGCUAUAGAGCUGCUGCAGAAACCAAGAACAUUUACAAAAAGAGUUCAGAGGCUACACUAUUCCCAAAGGAACCGUUAUUGUGCCCAACCUGUGGUCUGUCCAUAGAGAUCCCACUCUGUGGGACGACCCAGACAGUUUCAACCCAGGACGCUUCUUGGACAAUGAGGGAAAGUUGCUCAGGAUAGAAUGCUUCAUACCAUUCGGGAUUGGUCCCAGGGUGUGCAUGGGUGAACAGCUGGCGAAGAUGGAGCUGUUCCUGGCGGUUAGCAGCUUACUGCAGGCCUUCAGAUUCAGACUGCCAGAGGGAACGCCUCCUCCUACCCUGAACGGACGAUUUGGCCUGACGCUGGCACCCUGUCCAUACACUGUGUGUGUGCACCCUCGUAGAUGAAGUGGAAUAUUUGGUUCUCACAAAUCUGCUGUAAAUCAAGGAGCUUUACCAACCAAGCUGUGGGUAAAGCUCUCCUGGAGUGACAGUGUAAUCAGUGCAAAAUAGAAGAAGUAUGUUUUGAUUGGAGUGUAGCUCUUUUGCUAAUGGACUUAUGGCUGCAUAUCACGUCAUUAUCAGUUAAUUUAAUGAUUAUUCAAGCAAUAAUUUAGUCCAUAAUAUUCCAGAAGCAAAUACCCAUCAGAAGUGGCCAUAAUUUAAAGUGAUGUCUUACAGUACGUAAUACAUUUACAAUUAUAUGAUUCAGAACAGCUGCAAUAAACCCUCUAAUUUAAAGAGCUGGAACCAGCUAAUGUUUUUUAUAUUUACUUGAUAGUCAAGUAAUAAUUAAGGUAUAUAAUCAAAAUUCUGUUAAUUAUUUUGGUCAAUCAGCCACUUGAUUAAUAAGGUCAGUAUUAUAUGCCAGAUGCCUUUGAUUUUGUAAGAUACCUGUUCAAUAUCUGUAUUGAUAUUUUAUCAUGUUACUGUUUUAUAAUGCAUGCCACUGAUUUAUAGAACUUGGCACACAUAUCUGUCCCUAUAAUGUUCUUUAUUAGGGCAAUAGGGAAAGAAAUAUUUUUUUAAGAAUUUAGAUAUAUAUUUUCCUUACAGACUAAAUGGAUGAAUGGAUUGCUGGGAACGUGUCAAUAAAAAGAGAUUAUCCUAACAAUAAUUAC